rnacentral:rRNA from 1 species
UAACUGAAGAGUUUGAUCAUGGCUCAGAUUGAACGCUGGCGGCAGGCUUAACACAUGCAAGUCGAGCGGGGGAAGGUAGCUUGCUAC